UACAGAGGGUGCAAGCGUUGUUCGGAAUUAUUGGGCGUAAAGGGUGCGUAGGCGGUCGGGUAAGUCUGAUGUGAAAUCUCACAGCUUAACUGUGAAACUGCAUUGGAUACUAUUCGGCUUGAGGUCUGAAGGGGGGACUGGAAUUCUCGGUGUAGCAGUGAAGUGCGUAGAUAUCGAGAGGAACACCAGUGGCGAAGGCGAGUCCCUGGACAGGUCCUGACGCUGAGGCACGAAAGCUAGGGGAGCGAACAGG
rnacentral:rRNA from 1 species